rnacentral:rRNA from 1 species
UACGAGGGGUGCAAGCGUUGCUCGGAAUUAUUGGGCGUAAAGGGUAGGUAGGUGGUCUUAUUUGUCUGGGGUGAAAGCCUUGAGCUUAACUCAAGAAGUGCCCCAGAAACGGUAAGACUAGAGUCUUGGAGAGGGUCGUGGAAUUCCCGGUGUAGCGGUGAAAUGCGUAGAUAUCUGGAGGAAUACCGGUGGCGAAGGCGGCAUCCUGGACCGUAACUGACGCUGAGACACGAAAGCGUGGGUAGCAAACAGG